rnacentral:rRNA from 1 species
AUUAACAAAAUAAAGUAAAUACAAUAUCACGAAAGACAGUGAGCUAAACAAAUAUACUUAUAUAAUAAUACGUGGCAUAGUAUUUUUAUAAUAUAUGUUUAGGGGUGAUAGGCUUUUCAAGCUGUCUAAUAACUUGUUACAUAUGAAACGUAUUUAGUACAGAAACAAACUUAAAAAGUUAAGCUUUUAAGUAAUUAUUAAAAAUAUUUUUUGAUUAUAAUACAGUAUAAUAGCUUGUUGACACAAAACCUAAUACUAUGUAUAUGUUUUUAUAGAAAAUAAUAUGGUAACGUAAAUUUAUUUUAACGUUUGAAAAUGUUAAUAUUAGUAUUGUCUUAAAUAUGCUAAAGGAACUCGGCAAAUAGAUCACUCAACUGUUUAUCAAAAACAUAGCUAUAUGAGUUAAUGUAUAGUUAUUUCUGCUCCAUGAUUAUUAAAUAGCCGCAGUACUUUGACUGUGCAAAGGUAGCAUAAUCAAUUGGCUUUUAAUUGAAGUCUGGAAUGAAUGAAAAUAUGGGUGGUAACUGUCUUAGCAUAUUUAUUCGAACUUAUUAAGCAAGUGCAAAUACUUGCAAAUUUCAAAAAGACGAGAAGACCCUAGAAACUUGGAAUAAUUUUUGUUGGGGCGACAGAAUUACAUUUAACUAAUUUUAAGAUACAUGACAUUAAAUUGAAAGGGUAAGUUACUCUAGGGAUAACAGCAUAAUUUUAACAGUUUGUGACCUCGAUGUUGGACUAGGUAUUAUAUCCUUAAGGCAAGGAUAUAAUAUGCUCUGUUCGAGCAGUUCCACCUACAU